rnacentral:rRNA from 1 species
UGGCGGCGUGCUUACACAUGCAAGCUCNGUACGAGAACUCCUUAGCUUGCUAAGGAAAGUAAAGUGGCGUACGGGUGAGUAACGCGUGGGUAAUCUACCCCAUAAUUUGGGAUAACAUUGCGAAAGCGAUGCUAAUACCGAAUAAUAUCUGAUAACUACGGUUAUUCAGAUCAAAGGUAGCCUCUAUAUAUAAGCUACUGUUUUGGGAUGAGCCCGCGUACCAUUAGCUUGUUGGUAGGGUAAUGGCCUACCAAGGCUACGAUGGUUAGCUGGUCUGAGAGGAUGAUCAGCCACACUGGAACUGACACACGGUCCAGACUCCUACGGGAGGCAGCAGUGGGGAAUUUUGCGCAAUGGGGGAAACCCUGACGCAGCAACGCCGCGUGAGUGAUGAAGGCUCUUGGGUCGUAAAGCUCUGUUAAGUGGGAAGAACCAAAAAAUGUAAAUAUCAUUUUUUCUGACGGUACCACUAGAGGAAGCACCGGCUAACUCCGUGCCAGCAGCCGCGGUAUACG